rnacentral:tRNA from 1 species
AGCCCCGUGGUGUAGCGGCCAAUCAUACGGGCCUUUGGAGCCUGUGACCUAGGUUCGAAUCCUAGCGGGGCUA